ensembl:lncRNA
GCUGGGUCUAUCAGGUAACAUGCUGGGUGAUGGGUCUACCAGGUAACAUGCUGGGUGAUGAGUCUACCAGGUAACAUGCUGGGUGAUGGGUCUACCAGGUAACAUGCUGGGUGAUGGGUCUACCAGGUAACAUGCUGGGUCUAUCAGGUAACAUGCUGGGUCUAUCAGGUAACAUGCUGGGUGAUGAGUCUACCAGGUAACAUGCUGGGUGAUGGGUCUACCAAGUAACAUGCUGGGUGAUGGGUCUAUCAGGUAACAUGCUGUGUGAUGGGUCUACCAGGUAACAUGCUGGGUCUACCAGGUAACAUGAUGGGUCUAUCAGGUAACAUGCUGGGUGAUGGGUCUAUCAGGUAACAUGCUGGGUGAUGGGUCUACCAGGUAAC